CCACGAGAUGGGGCGACCGGCCAUGGCUUUUCCUGCCACUUCCUCUGCGGUCGAGGCCAUUUGCUCCAGGGAACAACACUGGUCUCCCCAGGCUCGGUGGCAAGGCUGCCUGCAUCCAUCGGGACCAAACCCCCACGCCAGAGGACUUGCUGCGAGCAGCUGGGCACAGGUCACUGCCCGCCAAGAGAAUGGACUGGCCUAAACCAAAGCAACCUCAUGCUGAACUCACCUUGAGAGUGGCUGUAGAGUCCUCGAGUCUUGUCUUGCUCGGAGCUGUGUUGUAAAGCAUUUUCAGAAGCAGCUAUAGAAGUAGGACUGAGUUCCUCUAUGAACCGAUACUCUACCAAAGGAACAUCUUUAAAAUACGCUUCCCACGUCCAGUUCUUCCCUCCCCCUCUUGCUCUUGGCCUCUCUGCCCACAGCAUCACCCUCAGCCUCCUCUGCGCAUCCUUGCCCUGAGGAAGUCAGCCCAGGCUCCUCCUCCUCCUCCUCUGGCCACAGCCCCUUCUCCUCUCUGCUUGACUCUCGCUGCACACGAGGAGAGGCACCUUGCAGCUCCCCGUCCCUCGCUGCACACGAGGAGAGGCACCCCGCAGUUCCCCGUCCCUCCUGCCAGCCCCAGCAUCCAUGGAAGCCCCUGGCACUGUGUCUGUGCCCACCUACAAGUGCUGGUCCAUCUUUAACAUCCUGUGCUGCUGUCUGCCCCUGGGGGUGAUUGCCCUCUACUACUCAGGACAGGUGGAGGAACGCCUGAGGUACCAUGACACUGAUGGAGCACGUGCUGCCUCUAAAACCGCGAAAACCAUCAACUGCGUAGCGCUGCUGCUGGGGCUGGUGGCCUUGGCCCUGACGAUCUUCUACUGCGUCAAAUACCAGCAGAUGCUCAGCAGGACAUGAACACAGCCCACCACGACGGCCUUCCGUUAAAAGCUUUGGCUGAGCCCAGGGCAGGGGUGUAGGGCUCUGCAUUUGUGAAACCUGUCUGAAAUGUUGCUUGGUUUGGCUGCUUUCUCUUUCCUAAACUUAUUGGCAGUUAGCAAGAGCUUUGCUGGCGAGAGGACCUAUGCGCUCAUACGCACGAGCGUUGCAGGGCCGUGGAUUUAGGUGCUUGGGAUGGAGCCCCCGGUCAAGCACCACUCUUUCCUAGGUGCUCUGCCUUGCCAGGGCAAGACGUGUUCACAAGCCCUCAGGUUUGGGGAAAUCCCUUGUGGGGUGGGAGUGCGCGUGUGGGCGGACUGCAAGCUGGGGCACUGUGGAACGGAGCUGGUGUUCGUGCUCUUUUGCUUUUGCUGUGGUAGCUCAGCGCCGCAAGCUGCUGCUUGUCCCUGCGAAAGAGCGGUGUCCGCCCAGUGCGAGGCCAGACCAAGCGCACUUAGGUUGUUGCCUGGGACAUCAUUGCUCUCCCUGCUGGUCCUUGUGUUGUCCUAAAUAAAUGGCUUGUGACCUGCCUUGA